AAUGCCCCAUGAUGCUCAGGUCCGCCGCAUCUCCUGAAUCGUGGGGUCGGUCGGCUGACGAUGUCCGAAUCGGUUCCUCGUGCCGUAAUCACAUCGUUGGCCGACCGCCUUCU
rfam:Agrobacterium tumefaciens str. C58 circular chromosome, complete sequence.